rnacentral:lncRNA from 1 species
GCGAGACAAAGAACCCACCGGAAGGAACCAAUUCUGGGCACAAUGAGGUUCCUGACCAAGGGGAGUAAAGGAGAUGGAAUGAAGCUUGUGUGCUGUACUUCAAGUCAUGCAUCCAGUACCAUUUUCCUGCACAUAAAGCGCUGUCUAUUCAUUAAGAUUUCUAGUUGCAGAGCUGGAUCCAUCCAUAAAAAGAACCAUUUUUCUAAUUUAUAGAAAGAUGUCUCAUGGCCUAGAAACAGGCCUUGAGCAAGAGCAAGCCCUGCCUUUCUCAUAUAGAAUAUAUACUGUUUUCUUAUAUGUAGCCUCUUUCUUCAAAUUUGAUAAU